UUUCAAAAUUGUUUUAUUUAUUGUUUGAUAUUGGUUGUGUGGUUUGAAUACUGUUUGAAUGACAAUUCUUGUCANCCUUGUCAAGAAUUCAUGCAGAUAUUUUGAAAAACUUGUGGCUUAUGUAUUCUUCUUCGUCUAUGUUCUGUUUCCUUGUUCAUUGUUUUUGGGAUUAGAGAAGUUAAAUGAAGUUUCUUGCAAAGCAUGCAAUCGUACUCAAAAAAAAGUCUAAUGCUAAAGAGCAUCCCAAUGUUUGUGAAAACAGCAACUACAACACUUUCCAACUUUCACACUGUGGUCGGGUUGCAAAAUGUUUAUUUCACAUCUGAUGUGCCGGGCUGCGAAGUUUCCGUGAAAAUGACGAUUGGAAAAUUUUGAUGACUAGUCUCUUAAUUAGCCAUGUCUGCAACCAACGCAUGUAUAGCUUCGCGUCACAACAUUUAAGGACGACGCGCCAUUCUUGCGAAAUCGUGCAACUCAAGCCUGCGAUUUACAUGAUCAAGAGGUUCAACGCACACUUUACGAACGUUCUUGAACAUAGCAAUCGAGCAAAAGAAAUCUUGCUUAAAAUCACUGAUGUUUUAAUACGCAAGAAUAGAGCGCAGGAAUGNAAGAAAUAUGACAGUUGUGCCUGGAUGUUGGCAACGGCAAACUACAGAUGCAUUCCAUGAGUUAAGAACAUGAGAUACUACAAGUUGACCGCACUUUUUUACCAUAAUGUGUACCAUCGCGUCCUAGCUGAUAUGCCUAGUUUCUACUGCAGGGGGCAACAUAAUGACAUAAUGCUAGAUGUGGACCACUAAAGAUAAAUAUCCAACGGGCUUUCAGAGAGUUUUAUUGCGCCGUUGGUCUUCCCUCUUCAGCCUAUUUCCAAACAGACGCCUUGCAUAUGACGUCAAAGCAUCUUCAUGUUUACCCUCUUGGUUUCUACAAUCCAUUGUCCUCAAGAUNGAACUCUGCUCCAACCUGNAAGGAGUCUAUGCAAUCAAUCUCGACAGUUUNACAAAUCUUUCCCCUAUGAACAUUUCUUGCUACAAACUUGAUGGAAGCAUUGUGUGUUUUUCCAUAUGACAAUCAUACUAGUUAAAACAGAAUUCUCAUUCGAAAUCUCAUACGACAGAUACGAUUGAUAAGACACAGCCGUACUAGUUUCAGUUCAACAUGAUUUUUCUUCGUUCUUUGUCCGCUUACGCUUGGCCUUAUGACUUGUUCUUACGCUUACGCUUGCGACAGCGAUGUAUUGUGUCGGCAUCUGAGGCCUUGUUCACACUNUACCGGUAAUUUUUGCAUCUUGUUUUUGCGGAAACAAAACUUUUCGCGUCUCUACGUAUUCGUCAUCGAAGCGUUUUCCNCUCUUUUGAGAUAGAUGACGAAAAUUUCCGGGUACAGNCAUGUGGAUACAGCGCGUAAUAGUAAGAAGAAUUUUGUGGAAUUGAAAAUUUCCGGCGUCGUUUGGACCAUUGACACGUCACAGUACCUCUUUCCAAGUAUGCGUUGCUUUAAUGCUGUAUGAUUAAGAGGAAAAAAACCUGAAAAUCUGAUGAUUAGGACACUAUCAUCUGAACAACAAAACUCUUACGCCUAUUGUGUGCUUCGAUUGUCGCUCUCAGGUUAAACCUGAAAGUUCAUCUUAUUGUAAAAGGAGUCUAUAAUGUUGAUCACUAUUUAUAAUCAGCUUCAAGGAACACUACGAUCCCUGACAGAGAAGUCCAACCAAGUUGUCCAAAACCGAGUCAGUGUCAAAUCGAAUGGUGACGAUGCGUAGCUGAGUACUUUAGCCUCAAGUACGAGUCAUUGGAUGUUUGAUUGAUAGCUGAAGCACUUGAAGCAUCGGAGUGCCAAUUCAUGAUCACUCAUGAUUUUUUCCCAUGUUAGAUGACGUCAAUAAACACAUGCAUGUCCGCCGACAUCAAGAAAAACGUGCUUCACUAUGACGUCAGGCAGAACCUCUCAUAUGUUUAUUUUUCAACAUUACGUAAUGCUUAAAAUGGAACUGUUAUAAUGUUUGGAUAAGUAAUUUCCUNUAAAAAUUUCGUCAUAAUUUUUCAGUGCGAAUUUUGGUAUCAUUAUAGAACUAAAAACCUAUUUAUAGAUUUACCAUUUUGAUUUUUGUUUAANGAUAAUGGCGUUCUCAGUAAAUGUUGGGAAAGCUUCUUAUCAACCACCUUGUGAGGCGCACUUCACGCAAAUAAAUGCUUUGUGAAAUUAAAGACCAAAAGACGGAAUUUUAUA
rnacentral:lncRNA from 1 species